GACGAACGCUGGCGGCGUGCUUAACACAUGCAAGUCGAACGGAAUGGCCCUGCUUUUGUGGGGUGCUCGAGUGGCGAACGGGUGAGUAACACGUGAGUAACCUGCCCUUGACUUUGGGAUAACUUCAGGAAACUGGGGCUAAUACCGGAUAGGAGCUCCUGCUGCAUGGUGGGGGUUGGAAAGUUUCGGCGGUUGGGGAUGGACUCGCGGCUUAUCAGCUUGUUGGUGGGGUAGUGGCUUACCAAGGCUUUGACGGGUAGCCGGCCUGAGAGGGUGACCGGCCACAUUGGGACUGAGAUACGGCCCAGAGUCCUACGGGAGGCAGCAGUGGGGAAUAUUGCACAAUGGGCGGAAGCCUGAUGCAGCAACGCCGCGUGCGGGAUGACGGCCUUCGGGUUGUAAACCGCUUUCGCCUGUGACGAAGCGUGAGUGACGGUAAUGGGUAAAGAAGCACCGGCUAACUACGUG
rnacentral:rRNA from 1 species